GAUGAACGCUGGCGGCGUGCCUAAUACAUGCAAGUCGAGCGAAUCGGGGACGGGUGAGUAACACGUGGAUAACCUCCUCUAAAACUGGGAUACCUUCGGGAACCAGGAGCUAAACCGGCUACUUCUAAAUAGAUCCGGGCUGCAUUAGCUAGUUGGUAAGGUAACGGCUUCCCAAGGCAACGAUGCAUAGACGACCUGAGAGGGUGAUCGGCCACACUGGGACUGAGACACGGUCCAGACUCCUACGUGAUGCAGCAGUAGGGAAUCUUCCGCAAUGGGCGAAAGCCUGACGGAGCAACGCCGCGUGAGUGAUGAAGGUCUUCGGAUCGUAAAACUCUGUUAUUAGGGAAGCGGUACCUAAUCAGAAAGCCACGGCUAACUACGUGCCAGCAGCCGCGGUAAUAC
rnacentral:rRNA from 1 species